rnacentral:rRNA from 1 species
GGUUCGAUCCUGGCUCAGAUUGAACGCUGGCGGGAUGCUUUGACACACGUAAGUCGAAACGGCAGCACCGACUUCGGUCUGGUGGCGAGUGGCGAACGGCAGUGGGCUGUAUCGAACGUGCCUAGUAGCGGGGGAUAACUACGCGAAAGCGUAGCUACUACCGCAUACGCCUCUUCGGGGAAAGCGGGGACCUUCGGGCCUCGCACUAUUUAGAGUUGCCGACAUCGGAUUAGCUAGUUGGUGGGGUGACCACCACCAAGGCGACGAUCCGUAGCUGGUUUGAGAGGACGACCAGCCACACUGGGAUCAUACAUACGGCCCAGACUCCUACGGGAGGCAGUGGGAAUUUUGACAAUGGGGAAACCCUGAUCCAGCCAUCCUCUGCGUGUGCGAUGAAGGCCUUCGGGUUGUAAAGCACUUUUGGUAGGAAAAGAAACGGGCACGGAUAAUACCCCGUGCAACUGAUUUGGUACCUUGUGAAUAAGCACCAAGCAACUACGCCACAGCAGCCGCGUAAUACGUAGGGUGCAAGCGUUAAUCGAAUUACUGGGCGUAAAAGCGUGCGCAGGCGGUUCGAAAGAAAGAUGUGAAAUCCCAGAGCUUAACUUUGGAACCGCAUUUUUAACUACCGAGCUAGAGUGUGUCGUAGAGGGAGGUGGAAUUCCGCGUGUAGCAGUGAAAUGCGUAGAUAUGCGGAUGAACACCGAUGGCGAAGGCAGCCUCCUGGGAUAACACUGACGCUCAUGCACGAAAGCGUGGGGAGCAAACAGGAUUAGAUACUCCUGGUAGUCCACGCCUCUAAACGAUGUCAACGCAUGUUGGGGCCUUCGGGUUUCGUAGUGUAGUUAACGCGUGAAGUUGACCGCCUGGGAGUACGGUCGCAAGAUUAAAACCGGGCGGAAUCUCUGACGGGGACCCGCACAAGCGGUGGAUGAGGACACCCGAUGCAACGCGAAAACCUUACCUACCCUUGACAUGUCUGGAAUCCCGAAGAGAUUUGGGAGUGCUCGCAAGAGAACUGAACACAGGUGCUGCAUGGCUGUCGUCAGCUCGUGUCGUGAGAUGUUGGGUUAAGUCCCGCAACGAGCGCAACCCUUGUCACAGUCGCUACGAAAGGGCACUCUAAUGAGACUGCCGGUGACAAACCGGAGGAAGGUGGGGAUGACGUCAAGUCCUCAUGGCCUUUAAGGUAGGGCUUCACACGUCAUACAAUGGUCGGGACAGUAGUCGUCAAAGGCGAGGGGGACUAACUGCAGAAACUCGAUCGUAGUCCGGAUCGCAGUCUGCAACUCGGACUGCGUGGAAGUCGAAUUUCGUUAGUAAUCGCGGAUCAGCAUGUCGCGGUGAAUACGUUCCCGGCUCCUAGGCCACACUGCCCGUCACACCAUGGGAGGGGUUUUACCAGAAGUAGUUAGGCCUAACCGUAAGGAGGGCGAUUACCACGGGUAGGGAUUCAUGACUGGGGUGAAUGUAUCACAGUAGCUCUGU